UCAAAACUGAUUUUCUGAUAUCCAGGUGCAUAGGUGACCUAAUAUAGCCUAGGCUACAAUGAAAACAAUUCAAAAGGUUGGGCGCAAACGAUUAUUCAAAUUUCUUAAACAGAACUUUGGAAACCAUUGUAGGGGUUUCAAAUACUUAGUUGUCUUCUGCGUAAACAUAACGUUGUAGGCUAUUGGAAAUGUAGAUGUAGGCAUUUGAGCCUUGUCAAUAGAAAUAUUGCUUCUUUUCAUAAAUCCAAGGAACUUGUUAUUGUAGCUGUUUGAGAGCCUCGAGAUCAUGUGUUUCCAGGCCAGGGUAACCAGUUGUUUUAGACACAUUCUUUCAGAAUCCGUGUGCUGUCUGGUAGAAUUUAUGACAAAUCCUUGCACACGGAUAGCGCAGAGGUGUAGCAGAAGGUUAGAGUGCACGAUAUAGUUAUGUUUUUAAGCCCAAAUCAAGGUAACCAGUUGUUUCGGAGUACUCAGAUAAACAGUGAUUCAUAGCCUACUGAGAGAAAA